rnacentral:lncRNA from 1 species
GUGGUGGUUGGAUAGUUAUAACAUAGUUAUGAUGGCAGUGGUUGUGAUGGUUGUCAUUAUUAUAUUUUUGAAUAAAUAGAUGUAUUAAUACGAAUAUAAUGUGUCAUAUUGUAUUACUUGUAGUUACUUGAAUAGUUAUGGAAUGGUUAUAGUAGUAGUGGUUGUGAUGGUAGUUGUCACUUAUGGAUGUUUUUGAAGAAAUAGAAAUAUUGGCAUCAUUAUAUAUUGUAGUACUUAUGGUUGUUUAGAUAAUUACGAAAUGGUUAUGAUGGUAAUGGUUGUGAUAUAGUGGUUGUUAUUAUUGUAUUUUUGAAUAGCUAGAUGUAUUAGCAUGC